rnacentral:rRNA from 1 species
GACGAACGCUGGCGGCGUGCUUAACACAUGCAAGUCGAACGGUAAGGCCCUUCGGGGUACACGAGUGGCGAACGGGUGAGUAACACGUGGGUGAUCUGCCCUGCACUUUGGGAUAAGCCUGGGAAACUGGGUCUAAUACCGAAUAUGACCAUGGACUUCACGGUUUGUGGUGGAAAGCUUUUUGCGGUGUGGGAUGGGCCCGCGGCCUAUCAGCUUGUUGGUGGGGUAAUGGCCUACCAAGGCGACGACGGGUAGCCGGCCUGAGAGGGUGACCGGCCACACUGGGACUGAGAUACGGCCCAGACUCCUACGGGAGGCAGCAGUGGGGAAUAUUGCACAAUGGGCGCAAGCCUGAUGCAGCGACGCCGCGUGGGGGAUGACGGCCUCGGUU